GCCGGGCAUGGUGGCAUGUGCCUGUAAUCCCAGCUACUCGGGAGGCUGAGGCAGGAGAAUUGCUUGAGCCUGGGAGGCAGAGGUUGCAGUGAGCUGAGAUCAUGCCACUGCACUCUAGCCUGGGCGACAGAGUAAGACUCUGCCUCAA
rnacentral:sRNA from 1 species